CAGGGUGCCCAGACCUUGCUUUUGUCGGUGCUAUGAAGUGGGAGGGGAACAUGAGCCAUGGCACUCACCAGCACCUUUGAUACUAGUGUGUUCCAGCAGCUCCCUGGCCUUUUGGCAGAUGCCCUUAGAACUCAUUCCAUUAUCUUCCAGUUGUUCUUUUAAUCUACAGCCUUUUUUUUCCUGUGCAGUAGGGCAGCUGGGGCUAGUGGGGUCCUAAGGGACUGAGGCUCACUGAUGCAGCAGGCCAGCUCCCAUCUAUGCUAUCAGUCAGGGUGGACAGGGAAUAUGAACAAUGGUGCUGGCCAGUACCUGGGACCCAGGGAGAGUGUUCUAGCAGCUCCCUGCCGUUUUUCAGAUGCUCUAGAGCUGGUUCCUUCAUAUUCUAGAUGCUCUUUUAAAGUGCGUCUUUUUUAUCUCUGCCACAGGGCUGAGCUGUACUUUUGGUCUCUGGAUACUACCUUCCCCACUGCAGUUGGCAAGAUGGGGGCGUGGCGGGGCAGGGGGUUGGAUUACUGUUGUUACUGUGUCUCUCUCUCUCCUUUCUCUGUGUGGUCCCUCUAUCCCUGUUCAGUCAGCCCUAGUUCUUCAGGGGGAAUUGCUCAACAUGUAGGCGUAGAUUCAGUGUGUGGAGGAGGUGAGCUGAGGGUCUUUCUGCAUCAUUGUCUUCCCUCCUUUGUAAACAAAACUUUUAGGUGUCUAUGAACACAUAAUGAAGUUAUUAUAAUUUUAGUCUUAGAAGUUUGCUAGAGAAGUAUCACUGUUCCUAAAAUAUUUUAUAACCCUGGCACUUGAUAGAAUGAUUCUUUAAAGCUGCUUAAUCUUCCCAUUGUCUGCUCUCAUAUGGGCACAUAGGUUGAGAAAUCUAGCUAUCACCAUUUACUUCUAUUUUGAGGGUUAAAUUUUAAAACAUACCAAUGGCACUUUGAGAAGUAAUUGAGACCUUGUUUUCAUAUAUGAAUCCAAUACUAGUCUCUUUGAAAGUCAGAAAUUGUUUUGGAUGUGCCAUGUAUACCAUUUUUAAAUAUACACAAAAGCUACCUUUGUAUGGAGUUGAAGGAUCUGAUCUGCCUCCUGACUUCUUGGUUUUAUUUUAGCUGAAGUUAUCCAACCCCCAGUAACUUUGGUUGUAUUGUGGGUAAGAGCAACUUUAUUCGUGUGGGAAAAGCCAGAGUUGACUUCUGGGUUCCACCUUCAUGGCAGGAAGAGGACUCAGGAAAAGCUGGCCACAAAUGCCUAAGUUUGCCCAAGUGCCCAGCGUGGGCUUGGCCUUGGAAAGCUUGUGUUACCCUUUGGGGGUAUACCUGCAGAUAAAGCUCAUUAAAAUGUCAAAACCUGGUAGUGCAUUCUCCAGCUGUAGAGAAAUACAGGAGAGGUGGGGAAGGAAUACACUAUAGUGGUUUUCCCAUGUUAGAACUCUGUGGAUUUCACUGGACUUUUGGAGUCACCUCGUCUCCAGUUUUUGGUAAGAUACCUUGAGAGAGAGAGAAUUUACCACCUCUUCCAGGUCCCGGCUGUCUUUAGACAAUGUGGCAAAGAUUUCCUUUUACUUCUGCUUUCUCUGUAAGAUGGCUAAGCAAGCAAGAACUCUCUGAGAACGUAACAUUUCCUCUUCCACACUCAUUACCGUGGAGUUGCUCCACUCUGAUUCCUUGAGCUUUAUUGAUUGAAGUCAGAGGGUUAUUUAUAUUUGAUGUGCCUGGUGGCACCGGUGUUCACAAAGCAUCUGGAAGACCUUUGUGGUAAGUAUAAGACUACUCAAGGACAAAAGAAUUUUCUCACCAAAAGCUUUCCAGAAAUAUACCUUACAAAGGCUCUGUGAAGCAUGCUCUCUGGAGAUUAUACAUAAUAUAUACAUAAUUAUUAUAUGUAGUUACAUAUCUAAUUUAUGGAAAGUAAUGGUCUUAAUCUUUGAUUAGUAAGCAUGACUUUUAAAUAAAAGUGAAUAAUGACAUUUCAUUGAAAAUUACUUUUGAGAAUAUAUGCAAUCAGUUGUUUAUUGGAAGUGACUUGGGAAAGAAGCAGAGUGCGUAGAAGAUUGUAUUAAGUGCCUUAUAAGAUGUAAUUCAUCUAUUUAGUGUUUUAAAAAUAAAAAAUUAAGGUUUCAUCCAAAAGGUAAUCCUGUUUAUCAUUUAUUUUUUUUAUUCAGGUGAUAUAAACAUUCAGUAUGGUUUUAAAGCAGUUCUCACCUCUAAGCUUCUUUCCACAGCUUCUUUUCCCUAAGUGGAAAGACUUCAUUUUCAUUUCUGAGAACUUGGUAGCUUUUCCUGGCAUAAUGAAGAACAUGUUAUAGAUUCAGGCUUUUAGGUUUCUUAACAGUAUGUUUGAUCUUUCAUUCUUUUCCUGAGAUUUCUUCUCUGCCUUUAUUAGUAAAGCCUUCUGUCUCUGGAAAUUUUGUUAAAUCAGAAAGACUUCAUUUCUCUGCUGUGACAAAAAUCCCCUCUGCUAUGGAGAAGACAGGAGCCCCUUAGUCCUCAUUUCAUGGAAUUGCAUUUAAUAUUUUUGGUCUUUUCAGACUGACCCCAAUUCUUGGCAUUCAGAAGCAUUCUCAGGAAAAUGUGGUGUUUACACAGUUUAUAGAGACUUUGCUUGAAGAAUUAAAUUUAAAGAAUGAAGACCUUGAAAGCUUAACCAUCAUAUUUAAAACCAGCUGUUAACCACGGAGUGGUAUAAUCCAUGAAGACCAAAUAGAAGAUGAUCGUCUAUUCAUCAUUUCUGGAAUUCUAGCUACAAUAAUGUUCUGGUGGUAACUGAUAACUAGCUUUGUUCCAAGAAAGACCUCCUUAGAUUUCAGCCCCCUGCUUCCCAGUCCCUAACUGUACAGUGACUUCCCCUAGAUAGAGGAGAACCAUUUUUCCAACAAGGAUAACCAAGUCCUUGCAUCCCUAGCUGUAAGACAUAAGAUUUUUAUUUACUUGAAAAUUUAAAUCUUAAGUUGAAACGUUAAUAAAUAUUGAUCUUAUUGGUUGACAAACAUUUGAGAACAUUCCCAUUUUGGCCUCACAAUCUAAACUCUAGAUUCUAAAAACAGUGAAGAGUUCAAUAAAUGCAAUCUAAGAUGAA